ACGAACGCUGGCGGCAGGCCUAACACAUGCAAGUCGAACGCCCUAGCAAUAGGGAGUGGCAGACGGGUGAGUAACACGUGGGAAUCUUCCUGUUGGUACGGAAUAGCUCAGGGAAACUUGAGGUAAUACCGUAUAAGCCCGAGAGGGGAAAGAUUUAUCGCCGACAGAUGAGCCCGCGUCUGAUUAGCUAGUUGGUGAGGUAAUGGCUCACCAAGGCGACGAUCAGUAGCUGGUCUGAGAGGAUGACCAGCCACACUGGGACUGAGACACGGCCCAGACUCCUACGGGAGGCAGCAGUGGGGAAUAUUGGACAAUGGGCGCAAGCCUGAUCCAGCCAUGCCGCGUGAGUGACGAAGGUCUUCGGAUUGUAAAGCUCUUUUACCAGGGACGAUAAUGACGGUACCUGGAGAAUAAGCCCCGGCUAACUUCGU
rnacentral:rRNA from 1 species